AAGAUUCCGUGCAAGUUCCAGAAUCGGUAUUGUACAAUAUUGAAGUUUUUCUACUACAUCCGUGCCAGUUCGACCAAACGCAUAAAACACUGUGUAAUCUUUAUAAAGAUGACAAAGAACUCCAAUCCCCUGACAGACAUCAUCAAUAUACAAUGAUAAUAAGGUUGGUCCCAAAAUACAGCCCUGGUGUACACUGCUUUGUGUUGCUUGUGUAAUUAUUGUGGCAAACGAUGCUAUUAACCCUUUCAUGCAUGAAAUAUAGAAAAUAGCUGAAAAACAACAACAUUUGAAGUAGUUUUGGACUACUUCAAAUAUAUAUUUUCAUUGAAAACAUUAAAACGCUGUUUCCUCUCAUGCAUUUGCGUUUUCCUUAUGUUCCCAUAUAAACACUAAAAUAGAUUUAUUUUUCAUCCUCCACAUAUAGAGGUUGCCAAAGGGUUAACAAUGUUUUUUUUAAUGCUCUGGGGUUGGGAGUGUGUGAAGACAAAGAACACGACAGUGGGAGUGACUGAACCCGUAUACCUGGCCAACGGUAAGUUCCACACCCAUAACUGGAGCCAUAUAAGAGAGUCGCUACAAAACAGAUGUAUUGAGAAGAUUAAGCAUCACCAACUGAGCGCUUAAACCACCCAAGAGAAUCACCGGAGAAGACUGACUCAAAAUGGACGGAAAAAAGAAAGACAAGAAGGAGAAGAAGGAGAAGAAGGAAAAGGACCAUAGUCAUUGCUCCUCCUCAUCUGACUCUGACAGCGAUGGGUGCAAAAAGGGAAAGGGAGAACACAAGAAAAAGGACAAGGGGAAGGGUAAAGGACAUGACCAUAAAGGACACGACGACAAAGACAAAGUGAAACCCUAGUUCCAGGUCCAGCUCGUCAGACAGCGAUGGGGAAGGAAAGCCUGCAUCCAUACUCAAGGCAAAGAAGGACAAGGACAAAAUAAAGAAAAGAAUGAAAAGCAAGUCGAACCCUUUCAGUGCAAAGCUUAAUCCAGCCGACUGUCAAGGAACAAGGAACGUACUAAAAGGAUGGACCCUGGUAAAGAGGAUGGACCCUGGUAAAGAGGAUGGACCCUGGUAAAUGUGGAAAGGCACCCUGGCGUUCUUCCACUUUAAACUGUGGUCCUUCUGGGUCCUUCCAUUUAGUAUUCCCCUAAAACAACAGCAAUUUGCAGUCUUGAAUGUAAACGGUUCUCAGUGAUGCACACUUCAUCCUUGGCAUGCCAUUAUUUGAUUUGUUUUGCUUGUUUUUCUUUUUGAACUUGUUAAUUUGUUAAGGAUCUCCUCCUAGUACAUGGUAUCCGACCUACGCUUGAUUUCUGUCUUGUGAUUGGUUACUCUAAUAAAGACUACGUCUUGGGAACCACUGAA